UUAGCUAGAGUCAAUUGGUAAAUUGUUAUCGACUUGCUGACAAAUGUUAUGUUCGAAACAAGAUGUAACAGCUUCAACAUCAUACCACGCACUACGUAGAUGUACAUGCAUAUAUACCUGGCUGUUCAGAUCUUUAAAUAUUACAGAAGAGGUAAUACAACGAUAAAAAUUUCAAUUCCAACUUAGAAAUUUCAAAACAGACGUGGAGUUGUUCGGAAACACAAAGAUGUAUCGAGUAUUCAUCGCCAGUGCAUUUGUUGUGAUCUACAUU